CAGCAGCCGCGGUAAUACCGGCGGCCCGAGUGGCGGCUACUAUUAUUGGGCCUAAAGCGUCCGUAGCCGGGCUGGUAAGUCCUCCGGGAAAUCUGGUCGCUUAACGAUCCGACUUCCGGAGGAUACUGCUGGCCUAGGGACCGGGAGAGGCCGAGGGUAUUCCCGGGGUAGGGGUGAAAUCCUGUAAUCCCGGGAGGACCACCUGUGGCGAAGGCGCUCGGCUGGAACGGGUCCGAUGGUGAGGGACGAAGGCCAGGGGAGCGAACCGGAUUAGAUACCCGGGUAGUCCUGGCUGUAAACGAUGCGGACUAGGUGUCGGGCAAGCUAAGGGCUUGUCCGGUGCCGCAGGGAAGCCGUUAAGUCCGCCGCCUGGGGAGUACGGCCGCAAGGCUGAAACUUAAAGGAAUUGGCGGG
rnacentral:rRNA from 1 species